rnacentral:rRNA from 3 species
CCGCCCGUGACUCGGCGAGAAGUCCAUUGAACCUUAUCAUUUAGAGGAAGGAGAAGUCGUAACAAGGUUUCCGUAGGUGAACCUGCGGAAGGAUCAUUG